GUCGUAGAUAUGUGUGUGUGUGUGUGUGUGUGUGUUUGGGUGUGUGUCUGUGUGCUUGUGUGUGUGUGUGGGCGUGGCGUAUUGGGUCAGACAGUUGUGCAAACAGCUGCUAACAGCUACGACACACUCAAAGGUGUGUCCGUGUCAGCGCGCUGACAUCAUCGUCGACAACGUUGGCAACGCCUUCAAAAUGGCCGUCGACACUUUGUUCAUCGUUCCCGUUAUUGCUGUUGUUGCUGUCGUUGUUGUUGCUGUUGCUGUUGUCUUUAUGGUCUGGCUGUUGUCGUCGCUGUCCCCUGCUGUCCCUUGGGGCGCGGCAGCGCAUUUAAUUUGAUUAACCCAAUUCACGCAGCCAGUGUGUUGAGAUGUGUAGCACAGUAGCCGGCAUAAACACUAUUCUUGGCCCUUGUUUGUACAGGAGACGCAUUUGAUAUUUAUAUAUAUAGAUGUAUAUAUAUAAGAACAACCUGUACGAGUGUUGCGUGUAACAGCAAAAGAGAGACAGAGAGAUAGAGAGAGAGCGAGAGAGAGAGAGAGAGUGAGAGCGAGAGUGUGGGGACAUUGAAAAGAUUACUGCAUUGUGUGAGUGUUUGUGUGUGUGUUUGGAAACUCGCUGGAAACUUUUGUAAUGCAUUCAAAGAAAUUCGGAAAUUUACAACUGCUUAUCGAAGAAUAAAAAAAGUUAUUAUUCCGACUCAAUUUAUAUAUUUUUCAAUUUGAGGUACAGAAACAUGCAAGAGCUGUGGAUCAGAUAGUCUACUAGAGUGUAAAGAGAGGGGGAGACGGAGACAGAGAACGUUGGUGAGAGAAUAUUAGUUGUAUUUGACAGAUAUAGAGACAGAGACAGAUAAAGAGAGAGACUUAAAUGGAAAUUAAGACAAAGUGUAAAAGAGCACAAAAUGUUAGCAAAAACAAAAUUUUUUAAAUGUUUUCUUUUUUUUUAAGCAUUUCUUUGAAACAUUACAAAAGCGCUUAACUCUAAAGAGUAUAGAUAUUAUGUAUAUAUAUAUAGGCAAUUGUAUAUAUAUUAUUGAAUAGUAUAAUGCUUCCAUACACAUAAACUAGUUCUUAAGUUGUCAUAAGCAAUACAGUAAUAUUUUCAAUUACAAACAGAAAGUACCAGCUCGAGCAAGCCAUGUGUGGAGAACUGGAGUACUACGAGUACUAUCUCGCUUGUAUGUGUGUGUGGGUAUGUGGGUGUGUGUGUGUAUGUUUCGAUAUUGAAAUYAAGAGAGUCGAGCAGAGAGCACACAUUGAUAAACGCCCAAUGAAAGGUUUUUCAGAAAGCUUUCAAAUGAAGUUAGCAAAAUUAAAAGGGAGUCAAGGAUAAUUUGUUUAAGUUAACUUAAGAGCAAACAGUUAUGUAUACCAGCAAAUCUAAUUGUAUUAAUUAGCAAAAUAAUUACAAAAUAAGUUUAGAUCAGAAAUAAACUCAUAAUAAAUAGCAAAAUAAAUAUGGAAAUAAUUUA